rnacentral:rRNA from 1 species
UUAGUUUUUUUAAUUUUAUUUUUUGGUAUUGCAUAUCAGUAAAAGUUAUUAUCAUAAUUUAUGAAAAAUAGAAAUAAAAUGUCGAAGUGUGAUUUUUUUUGUUUUUACAAAAUAAAUGAUAUUGUCAUUUUGCAUUGAUAUUACGUAUUUUUAUUUCUGUUUGUUUUUUUUUAUUGUUAAGUUAUAUUUUAAGAGAGGGUUUGAUUUAUAAUUUGUUUUUUUAAAAAAUGUUUUAUUAUUUUGAUUUUUUUUUCUUUUUUUGUAUUUUUUUGAUUAAUGUUUUAAUUAAUUUUUAAUUUUUACUUUAGUAGAUUUUGAAUUUUUUAUAAUUUUAUUUUUUGAUUUUAUUUUUUGAACUAAAUUUGUUGUUAAAUGUUUAUUAAAAACUUAGGUUUUUAUAUAAAGUUGUCUUCUGCUCUAUGAAAUUUUAAAUGGCAGCCUUAGCGUGAUGGCAAAAAAGUAGCGUAAGUGAUUUGUUUUUUUAUUGUUUUCAAGUAUGAAUGGAGUUUUUAACAAUUUUUUUAAAUAUUUUUUUUUUGAAUUAUUUUUUUUAUUAAAAAUUAUAAGUUAGAUUACUACAAAGAUAAGUCUUCGGAAAUUUUUUUUUAUUUUUUUAAAGUUGUUUAUUAAUAUAAAUUUUUCUUGGGGUUGGAUUUUAGAAAAUUGUUAUUCUAUUAUUAAUUUUUAAAAUUACUCCGGAGUUAACAGGGUUGUGGACAUAUAAAUAGAUUUUUAUAUUAUUAUGCUGCGCUACAUCGAUGUUGUAUAUUUUUUGUAAAAAGUGAGAGAGUUUUUUUUUUUUGAGACUGUUCUUCUUAUAUAAAAAUUAAACUUGAUAUUAGUUUAGUUCGUCGUGAGACAGAGCGGUUUAUCUUGUGUAUUUUUUAUUUUUGUUGGAGUUAGUACGAAAGGAAAAUUAUAAGGGUUAAUAUUUAUGACUUUUUUAUUUGUAUAGAAUUUUU